AAGUCGUAACAAGGUUUCCGUAGGUGAACCUGCGGAAGGAUCAUUAUAGAAUAAACUUGGUAGGGUUGUUGCUGGCUCCUUGGAGCAAUGUGCACGCUCUAACACCAAUUGUUUUUACCACCUGUGCACCUUUUGUAGAUCUCGGAAUAUACAUAUGUGAAAGCAUUGUAUUUCCUAGUCUACGUUUUCUACAUACACCAUAUAAUUGUAAUAGAAUGUUGUUCAAAAGAGGCUUUUUUUGAAGUCCUUUUUAAUCAAAUACAACUUUCAACAACGGAUCUCUUGGCUCUC
rnacentral:misc_RNA from 1 species